ensembl:lncRNA
GCCAGUAUACUGCUCUUAAAACCUUUCUGUGGGUCGUCUUCAUCCUAAUGAGGCUGGGUUGUGUAUUCCUUUGAACAGACUCGAGUCCUCCACUGAGACCAUACUGAGGUCGAGAUGCUCAACAUAGGGGCUGUGCUGCUGUUACUAAUCGGGAUGACUGAUGGUUUGAAGACCUUCUGCGACGCCACAAAGUCCUCAAGAACCCCGUGCUUCGGCUCCCUGGGAGGAACCCUGGAGGUCCAGCUGGAUAUGACCUCAAGUGGGAUUCUUUAUGAAUUGAUACGAAACAAUGUUCUGAUUGAUCUUUUCGACGACGAGAUAAUAAACACGACUCUUCGAUUUUCAAUGAAUUACAGUACUAGAAUAUUAACUAUGAAGGACCUCCACAGGUCGGACAAUGGUUUAUACUCAAUGGGUGAUGUAGUUGGCCUUGGAUUUAAAACAGAUUAUUUUUAUUUAUCCAUUGAAGCCCCGGUCUCCUCUCCCCUCCUGUCCCGGGAGUGUCUGUCCCGGGGACAGCAGAGGGUGUCCUGCGCUGCAGAGGGGGACGGACCCCACUACAGCUGGAGUCUAGACGGACUCCCGCUGAAUGCCACACGUCUCCUCUCUGGACCCAGUAACGCUAGUGACAUCACUCUGGAGCCGGGCCUGUCGGGGCUGAUCACCUGCUCGGUCCGCAACAACGUGAGCGCCGCGGCGGCUACAUUCACCCUGUCUUUGUGUGACGACCCCAUCCCUAUCAUCGCCCGUUUUCUGACGGUGGUGGGGCUGCUGCUAGUAGCAUUGGCAGUCUACUGGGCCCUGAAGAAAAAGAAAACUUCAAGACCUCAAGACAUCCCGCUGUCCUCCAUGGCAGGAGAUGAUGACGGACUGUACGUUAAUAUCUCGAGGGCGACCGGGGGAGCAGGGGGGGAUUGAGGAGGAGUACGGCCACUCCAGGCUCCAGGCCUCAGAGUGAGGAGGAGUACGGGACGGUCCAGGCUCCAGGCCUCAGAGUGAGGAGGAGUACGGGACGGUCCCGGCCGCUCUAGGCACGAUAAAAUCCUUAUCGACCCGACAGCGAUAUAUACGUUUCUCUUUCUUCUGACAAAUGUACUUACUGUAAGUCGCUUUGGAUAAAUGCAUCUGAUAAAUGCCCUUAAAUGUUAAUGUGAUUGUUUCAAUUAAUCAAUUAAUUAAAAAUAUGUAUGUUUGCUUUUGCUUUCUGCUAGAUCUUAAAUACAUUGCACUUUCUACAAUGCAAUUUUAAUUCUGCCUGUUUUCUUUUCCUCAUCUUUUUUCUUUUUGAGUUUUAGAACAGUUUUAGGGAGAAAUAUGCAUUUCAUUUCCAUUAUCUUCGUUCAGUGAUUGAACAUGUUUAAUUUGUUGGUUAGUACGAAUGACCUUUCAGGUCUCCCCCCGAAAUGUGUUGCAAUACAAAGUUUUGUGUUGAAACCACGGCUUGCAUGUUGUCUGAAUCAUUGUCUUUGUGUUCUGUAGUAAUCUGAGCUCAAUUGUUUUUACUGUUGUUACUAUUUGGUGUUUUUUCUAUAGGGUGACCAGAUUUCCGGAAACUAAAACCGGGACACCUUGCGCCUGACCGCUGUUAUGAUAAACGAUGCUGAACCCAA